rnacentral:lncRNA from 1 species
CCGGCACCCUGCACAGGUGAAGCCUAGUGUUGGAUACUAUCUACAAAACUUCACAUCUUUCCAGCCGGUCCAAAGCAAUCACAAAACAAAUCAGCAUAUGUUCAAGGGCUGUAUCAUCAGGGUCAGAAAGGGAAAAGAUGAUAGACUCAGCCAGGGUUUCUAAGAAAAGGCAAUGUUAUAAUUUACAUGCCUGAGGGCAGAGUUGAGAAAACAAAGGAGGGAAUCCAUCACUCCCCUCUGUGCUUAGAGGGGAGUGGGGACGAUGGGAUUUUGCCCCAGGACCCAGUGGCAGCUGAAGCCCUGGAGAGGGGCUGCCCACCUGGAGACACAACCUCUGCUGGAAUCAAGCCAGGAGGAAGGCAGGGAGCUGGGGAACCAGGUACCCUGAUGUGCGCUUCUCCAUCCUCUGCCCGCCGUGGAGGGGACCCAAGCGGCACUGGAGGACCAAAGAGUCACAGGAGUCAGCUCACAGGGCACAGAACAGGCCCAAGCAUAGCUGUGGGAGUGAGGACAGAGAGUGACAAGGGCUAUGGUGUGCCAGGCAUUUUUUUUUUAAUUCCGAAUGAAUACAUAGAUGAAUGAAUGAAGUGAGCCCAAGACCUGGCCCUCAGUCAGUGUCUGAUGAACUGCAGAAAUGAAUGAAAGGACCACCAUCUCCUUUACGGCCUCCUGUCCCAGAGCCCUGACUACUGUGGCUUUUGUUCCACCGUCUACACAGCCCUCCCCGAUACUCUGCUCUGCACCCUUCCCCAGCCGCCGCUGAUCCCUCAGGGCUUCCUACAAAAGGGUACAGAGAGGUGGGGAUUUAAUCUGGGAGGUAGCAGAGCAGGGCAGGAGCUUUCUAAACAGAAGUAGAGGAGUUCCCGUGGUGGCGCAGUGGUUAACGAAUCCGACUAGGAACCAUGAGGUUGCGGGUUCGGUCCCUGACCUUGCUCAGUGGGUUAACGAUCCGGCAUUGCUGUGAGCUGUGGUGUAGGUCAAAGGUGCAUCUCAGAUCCUGCUUUGCUGUGGCUGUAGCGUAGGCCAGCAUCUGCAGCUCAGAUUCGCCCCCUAGCCUGGGAACUUCCAGAUGCUGUAGGUGCAGAAAGAAAGAAAGAAGGAAGGAAGGAAGGAAGGGAAGAAAGAAAGAAAGAAAGAAA